rnacentral:rRNA from 1 species
GGGCGCACGGUGGAUGCCUUGACACUAGGAGUCGAUGAAGGACGGGACUAACGCCGAUAUGCUUCGGGGAGCUGUAAGUAAGCUUUGAUCCGAAGAUUUCCGAAUGGGGAAACCCACCAUACGUAAUGGUAUGGUAUCCUUAUCUGAAUACAUAGGGUAAGGAAGACAGACCCAGGGAACUGAAACAUCUAAGUACCUGGAGGAAGAGAAAGCAAAUGCGAUUUCCUGAGUAGCGGCGAGCGAAACGGAACAUAGCCCAAACCAAGAGGCUUGCCUCUUGGGGUUGUAGGACAUUCUAUACGGAGUUACAAAGGAACGAGGUAGACGAAGCGACCUGGAAAGGUCCGUCGUAGAGGGUAACAACCCCGUAGUCGAAACUUCGUUCUCUCUUGAAUGUAUCCUGAGUACGGCGGAACACGUGAAAUUCCGUCGGAAUCUGGGAGGACCAUCUCCCAAGGCUAAAUACUCCCUAGUGAUCGAUAGUGAACCAGUACCGUGAGGGAAAGGUGAAAAGCACCCCGGAAGGGGAGUGAAAGAGAUCCUGAAACCGUGUGCCUACAAAUAGUCAGAGCCCGUUAAUGGGUGAUGGCGUGCCUUUUGUAGAAUGAACCGGCGAGUUACGAUCCCGUGCGAGGUUAAGCUGAAGAGGCGGAGCCGCAGCGAAAGCGAGUCUGAAUAGGGCGUUUAGUACGUGGUCGUAGACCCGAAACCAGGUGAUCUACCCAUGUCCAGGGUGAAGUUCAGGUAACACUGAAUGGAGGCCCGAACCCACGCACGUUGAAAAGUGCGGGGAUGAGGUGUGGGUAGCGGAGAAAUUCCAAUCGAACCUGGAGAUAGCUGGUUCUCCCCGAAAUAGCUUUAGGGCUAGCCUUAAGUGUAAGAGUCUUGGAGGUAGAGCACUGAUUGGACUAGGGGUCCUCAUCGGAUUACCGAAUUCAGUCAAACUCCGAAUGCCAAUGACUUAUCCUUAGGAGUCAGACUGCGAGUGAUAAGAUCCGUAGUCAAAAGGGAAACAGCCCAGACCGCCAGCUAAGGUCCCAAAGUGUGUAUUAAGUGGAAAAGGAUGUGGAGUUGCUUAGACAACUAGGAUGUUGGCUUAGAAGCAGCCACCAUUUAAAGAGUGCGUAAUAGCUCACUAGUCGAGUGACUCUGCGCCGAAAAUGUACCGGGGCUAAAUACACCACCGAAGCUGCGGAUUGAUACCAAUGGUAUCAGUGGUAGGGGAGCGUUCUAAGGACAGUGAAGUCAGACCGUAAGGACUGGUGGAGUGCUUAGAAGUGAGAAUGCCGGUAUGAGUAGCGAAAGACGGGUGAGAAUCCCGUCCACCGAAUGCCUAAGGUUUCCUGAGGAAGGCUCGUCCGCUCAGGGUUAGUCAGGACCUAAGCCGAGGCCGACAGGCGUAGGCGAUGGACAACAGGUUGAUAUUCCUGUACCACCUCUUUAUCGUUUGAGCAAUGGAGGGACGCAGAAGGAUAGAAGAAGCGUGCGAUUGGUUGUGCACGUCCAAGCAGUUAGGCUGAUAAGUAGGCAAAUCCGCUUAUCGUGAAGGCUGAGCUGUGAUGGGGAAGCUCCUUAUGGAGCGAAGUCUUUGAUUCCCCGCUGCCAAGAAAAGCUUCUAGCGAGAUAAAAGGUGCCUGUACCGCAAACCGACACAGGUAGGCGAGGAGAGAAUCCUAAGGUGUGCGAGAGAACUCUGGUUAAGGAACUCGGCAAAAUGACCCCGUAACUUCGGGAGAAGGGGUGCUUUCUUAACGGAAAGCCGCAGUGAAUAGGCCCAAGCGACUGUUUAGCAAAAACACAGCUCUCUGCGAAGCCGUAAGGCGAAGUAUAGGGGGUGACACCUGCCCGGUGCUGGAAGGUUAAGGAGAGGGGUUAGCGUAAGCGAAGCUCUGAACUGAAGCCCCAGUAAACGGCGGCCGUAACUAUAACGGUCCUAAGGUAGCGAAAUUCCUUGUCGGGUAAGUUCCGACCCGCACGAAAGGUGUAACGAUUUGGGCACUGUCUCAACCAGAGACUCGGUGAAAUUAUAGUACCUGUGAAGAUGCAGGUUACCCGCGACAGGACGGAAAGACCCCGUGGAGCUUUACUGUAGCCUGAUAUUGAAUUUUGGUACAGUUUGUACAGGAUAGGCGGGAGCCUUUGAAACCGGAGCGCUAGCUUCGGUGGAGGCGCUGGUGGGAUACCGCCCUGACUGUAUUGAAAUUCUAACCUACGGGUCUUAUCGACCCGGGAGACAGUGUCAGGUGGGCAGUUUGACUGGGGCGGUCGCCUCCUAAAGUGUAACGGAGGCGCCCAAAGGUUCCCUCAGAAUGGUUGGAAAUCAUUCGUAGAGUGCAAAGGCAUAAGGGAGCUUGACUGCGAGACCUACAAGUCGAGCAGGGACGAAAGUCGGGCUUAGUGAUCCGGUGGUUCCGCAUGGAAGGGCCAUCGCUCAACGGAUAAAAGCUACCCCGGGGAUAACAGGCUUAUCUCCCCCAAGAGUCCACAUCGACGGGGAGGUUUGGCACCUCGAUGUCGGCUCAUCGCAUCCUGGGGCUGUAGUCGGUCCCAAGGGUUGGGCUGUUCGCCCAUUAAAGCGGUACGCGAGCUGGGUUCAGAACGUCGUGAGACAGUUCGGUCCCUAUCCGUCGUGGGCGUAGGAAAUUUGAGAGGAGCUGUCCUUAGUACGAGAGGACCGGGAUGGACGCACCGCUGGUGUACCAGUUGUUCUGCCAAGGGCAUAGCUGGGUAGCUAUGUGCGGAAGGGAUAAGUGCUGAAAGCAUCUAAGCAUGAAGCCCCCCUCAAGAUGAGAUUUCCCAUAGCGUAAGCUAGUAAGAUCCCUGAAAGAUGAUCAGGUUGAUAGGUUCGAGGUGGAAGCAUGGUGACAUGUGGAGCUGACGAAUACUAAUAGAUCGAGGACUUAACCAA